rnacentral:rRNA from 1 species
GUAGGCGACAGGUAGGCAAAUCCGCCUGUCAUAUACCGAGGCUGCCGAUCGAGCGAGCUUGCUCGCGAAGUGAUUGAACGAGGUUCCAGGAAAAGCCACUAAGCUUCAGCUACACACGACCGUACCGCAAACCGACACUGGUGCGCGAGAUGAGUAUUCUAAGGCGCUUGAGAGAACUCGGGAGAAGGAACUCGGCAAAUUGACACCGUAACUUCGGAAGAAGGUGUGCCCUAUUAGUGUGAAGUGAACAACGGAGCAUGAAUGGGUUGCAAAAAAUCGGUGGCUGCGACUGUUUAUUAAAAACACAGCACUCUGCAAACACGAAAGUGGACGUAUAGGGUGUGACGCCUGCCCGGUGCUGGAAGAUUAAAUGAUGGGGUGCAAGCUCUUGAUUGAAGUCCCAGUAAACGGCGGCCGUAACUAUAACGGUCCUAAGGUAGCGAAAUUCCUUGUCGGGUAAGUUCCGACCUGCACGAAUGGCGUAACGAUGGCCACACUGUCUCCUCCCGAGACUCAGCGAAGUUGAAAUGUUUGUGAUGAUGCAAUCUCCCCGCGGAAAGACGGAAAGACCCCAUGAACCUUUACUGUAGCUUUGUAUUGGACUUUGAACAGAUCUGUGUAGGAUAGGUGGGGGGCUUUGAAGCAGGGUCGCUAGAUCUUGUGGAGCCAACGUUGAAAUACCACCCUGGUGUGUUUGAGGUUCUAACCUAGGUCCAUUAUCUGGAUCGGGGACAGUGCAUGGUAGGCAGUUUGACUGGGGCGGUCUCCUCCCAAAGCGUAACGGAGGAGUUCGAAGGUACGCUAGUUACGGUCGGACAUCGUGACGAUAGUGCAAUGGCAUAAGCGUGCUUAACUGCGAGACUGACAAGUCGAGCAGAUGCGAAAGCAGGACAUAGUGAUCCGGUGGUUCUGUAUGGAAGGGCCAUCGCUCAACGGAUAAAGGUACUCUGGGGAUAACAGGCUGAUACCGCCCAAGAGUUCAUAUCGACGGCGGUGUUUGGCACCUCGAUGUCGGCUCAUCUCAUCCUGGGGCUGUAGCCGGUCCCAAGGGUAUGGCUGUUCGCCAUUUAAAGAGGUACGUGAGCUGGGUUUAAAACGUCGUGAGACAGUUUGGUCCCUAUCUUCCGUGGGCGCUGCAGAUUUGAGGAAGCCUGCUCCUAGUACGAGAGGACCGGAGUGGACGCACCUCUGGUGUAUCGGUUGUCACGCCAGUGGCAUUGCCGAGUAGCUAUGUGCGGAAGAGAUAACCGCUGAAAGCACCUAAGCGGGAAACUCGUUCCAAGAUGAGAUCUGCCGGGGCCUUGAGCCCCCUAAAGAGUCGUUCAAGACCAGGACGUUGAUAGGUCGGGUGUGGAAGCGCAGUAAUGCGUUAAGCUAACCGAUACUAAUUGCUCGUGCGGCUUGACC